rnacentral:tRNA from 1 species
UCUUCCUUGGUCUAGUGGUCAUGAUUUCCGCUUGUCAUUUCAUCUGCUACAAGCGCGGGAGACCGGGGUUCGAUUCCCCGAGGGAGAG